rnacentral:lncRNA from 1 species
CUCUUCAUUCAGAACAUUCUCUCCAUAACGUCAAGUUUUCUCUCCAUCCUCUAGUUUCAAGUCUCUGCGUCUUCAAGCAAAGAGAAGAAGAGAAGAAGAAGCCAUGAAGCCUUCUAGCCGCCAUCAUCCACCUUGUGUCGUGAAGCUUUGGAGCCUUGCUUUCAAGAUCCAAGACCAACGUCUCAAGCUUUCCACUAUUCAUCCUUCAUGAUCGAGCGGCGGUGGUGGAUUGCCUGCGUGUGUAUGGGGAGUGUUUGCAAAUAGAUGUGAGGACUGGAUUUGGGCCAGGAUGCUGUUUGGGCCUAAGGCUACUCUCAUUUAGGCCUUGUGGGCUGUUAUGGUUUUAGAUAAUUAUAGAUUGUUUAUUUCUAACAAUGGCC